rnacentral:sRNA from 1 species
AUUUGGUCUCACGUCAUCCUGAGUGGGAACAACAUGCGGGUCCUGGUGGGAAGGGUCAGAAUUGUGCUGACUUAGUGGAGGGGUCAUCAGCGGCUAUGGAUUGCCAGGUUGCUUGCCUUUUCCAAAAGGCCUGGAGUGGGAUGGAGGACGGCCGCUGGUGAAGCUGGGGUUCGACGAAGAAACAACUGAGGACUCUGGACAUCAAUAAGCAGCAGGAACUCUGGUGGUCCUCACAUGUUCCUGUGAUGUCUCGUAGAGCUUCCCUCCUCAGUCAAACUUCUCUGGAGAGACUGCCAUUGAUACAUCCAUUUAUUGUGUUCUCAUGACAGAUCUAAGCCAAGCCAGGCUAACAGUGAAGAUUAAACAACCACUGCCAAAGAAUAUCAACCAAAAGAAUAUCUCAGUAUAAAAGUCUAUCACUUAUUCAGGCUCCUAGCUUCUAGAAGCGACGGGAUACAAACAAAGGAGCUAACUAGUCUUCUCUGCAUAGAUUACUAGAGUGGUGUCACCUUGACCACCCCUCCACCUGAGUGGGAGGUCACAUCUUGAGAAUGAUGUCACUGCUGAAGAAUUGUCUAGCUCAAGACAGAACAACAAAUGAAGCUUCCCCACAGUAGAAGAGAAGUCCCCUAACUAUGUGAUCCCAUCGUAUCCCGGGAAAGCCCAAGAGAAAUGGCAUGGUCCAAGGGCACAUAUAAAGCCCAGAUGCCGGUGACUCUGAGGAGAGUUUGCCAAUUAACAAGAAAGGGUCGCUAAGACGCUCUGAUAGCCGAGUAACCCUCAGCUUUUUAAGUCAGAAAUUCCAGAAGCCCCAGCUAUUUGAGAAGCCUUUGGUGUAGAAGAGGAAUCCAAGAACAAGGGCAUGCAAAAGAAAUUGCCUUGGUUUGAUAUGAAGUAGCCACAAAGGUUCGUGGAUUGAAGGAAAGGUUGGCCUCCAGCGAGGGAAUUGAAUCCAGAUGGUUCUGAUUGGUCAAUAGUGAUUUUGUAAUUGGACCGUGUGGUUAGAGGUGGUUGGAAAGAGGAGACAGGGUCUAGCUGGAGGAAGUUCAUCACUGGCGGGCAUG